AUGCCACAGACCUGGACAUAGAGCUACGUAACAGUGUUUAACAGCAACCUACAUGUAUAACCGUAUACAGCUA